ACAAGGCAAAACAACCACAGAAUGCAAAAUGAAGUCUGAAGUUCCACAGCUACAGAGGAGAUGCUGCACAGGUGGAUGAUGAGAUGCAGGGCCACAACAAGGAUCAUUCUUGUGAAUCUCCUCUGGACUGUCUUCAAAGCCACCACAUCACCACCGAUGCUCCUCGGCCCCUUGAGCUCCUCCAGCAGAUUGCUUGGUGCUCCAGGUUAGAAGAUAACUUCUUGAUCUACAGAAAGCAGGUCGCAAAACAACACAGCGCUGGCCGGAACCAAACACUGAAACAGAGCCAAUCAGUGUAGCUGCCGACCCUGAGAUGCCCAAAGUGACCGCGGCCUCAUCUGUGUAGUCAAGAACUAUCUUUAGAGAUUAUGAGACCUUACACGAUUAAUCAAUCGUUCUAACUGGAAUAGUGUAAAGGUAGCUGUUCGAAUACCGGCUCUAUCCCGAUUCCAAUCUGAAUCCUUGUCAACGUAAUGUUCACCAUUGUGGUCGUCUUCACCUUCGCCUCGCCGUUCCUCAGCAUCGUUCUGUACGUGUCAACUCACAGCAUCCAAUAGACAUCCGCAGUUCGUGUUAAUUUUUUAAAAUUUUAUUUAGCCCCGUUAACGAUGGAUAAAUACGUGCAGCGCGAUCUCGGAGUGUGAAGGCGGUGAAGCCUUUGAUUGUAAUCCUGCUAAGAAACAUAAACUACAGAGAGUGUGUCAAUA